rnacentral:rRNA from 1 species
AUUGAACGCUGGCGGCAUGCCUUACACAUGCAAGUCGAACGGUAACAGGUCUUCGGAUGCUGACGAGUGGCGAACGGGUGAGUAAUACAUCGGAACGUGCCUAGUAGUGGGGGAUAACUACUCGAAAGAGUGGCUAAUACCGCAUGAGAUCUACGGAUGAAAGCAGGGGAUCGCAAGACCUUGUGCUACUAGAGCGGCCGAUGGCCGAUUAGGUAGUUGGUGGGAUAAAAGAUUACCAAGCCGACUAUCUGUAGCUGGUCUGAGAGGACGAUCACCCACAAUGGGACUGCGAGACGGCCCAGACUCCGACGGGAGUCAGCAGUGGGGAAUUUUGUGCAAUGGGCGCAAGCCUGAUCCAGCAAUGCCGCGUGCAGGAUGAAGGCAUUCGGGUUGUAAACUGCUUUUGUACGGAACGAAAAGCCCUGGGUUAAUACCCUGGGGUCAUGACGGUACCGUAAGAAUAAGCACCGGCUAACUACGUGCCAGCAGCCGCAGUAAGAC